GGCCAUACAAUCCUGAACACACCCAAUCUCGUCUAAUCUCUGAAGCUAAGCAGGGUCAGGCCUGGUUAGUACUUAGAUGGGAGGAUUUGUCCAGUCCUAUAAGGACUGUGUCACAAGAAAACCUUGGUCAUC
rnacentral:rRNA from 1 species